UACGUAGGGUGCGAGCGUUAAUCGGAAUUACUGGGCGUAAAGCGUGCGCAGGCGGUGAUGUAAGACAGGUGUGAAAUCCCCGGGCUUAACCUGGGAACUGCAUUUGUGACUGCAUCGCUGGAGUGCGGCAGAGGGGGAUGGAAUUCCGCGUGUAGCAGUGAAAUGCGUAGAUAUGCGGAGGAACACCGAUGGCGAAGGCAAUCCCCUGGGCCAAUACUGACGCUCAUGCACGAAAGCGUGGGGAGCAAACAGG
rnacentral:rRNA from 1 species